AAAAAACCACGAGCGAGGCCUGCGGAGUGCCCUCGAGCGAGAACCACGCCAGCCGCCCUCGCACUUCAUCCCUUCGCCGCUGCCCUCGCGCUCGCAUCAAGGAUCGAGGCCUCCAGAGUGCCCUCGAUCCCUGCACUACCUCCGUUCCCCGCCGCCGAUCCUUUCCCCGCCACCGAUCCCUUCGCCGCCGCCGAUCUCGUCGCUACGACCCCCUUCACGAGCCGCCGCCGAUUCCCUUGAGGAGCCGCAGCCGAUCCCUUCACCUGCCCGGCUAGGGCUCCCAUCCGUGUCCUCGCCCUUGCGCCAUUACCAUCGCCUUGUUGUGGCGGCCCCCGUCAAUCACCACCAUCAGCAAAUCCCAGCACAUGCCGAAGCCGUCCAGCACCAACCAGCGCUCCUUCCUAGAUCCAUGACGGAUACCACGGUCUGGAGGGAUCCACGACCGCGACAAUGAAAACGGCACCCAAGUCGCCCACCCGUGCCCACUCCCAGCCUUUCCUCUGGACGCGACGCACAGGAUCGGCGGAGCACCACCGAGCGUGGCACCGACCACGACCUCCAUUUUUCUUUGUGGGAUAGAGAAAAUAUUCUGCCAGAGCUCUCCUAGCGCGUCCACUUUCUUCCGUGGCUAGCAGCAGCGACAAAAAAUCUAGGCACUUAGAGAUAGACAAGCAGGAUUUUCCUUUUUGUGAUGAUAUUUGCAUUCCAGAAGUAGUUCUUGCUUCAUGAGAUUCUGCUUAUGUUUAUUUUCAGAUUUCAGGACUGACGUAGAGGAAAUGAUUAGUACUUUGAGCCGAUCGUGGACCUGUGGUAGUUGAUAUGCUUGAUUGUUCUGCUCUGCUUAUCAACUAGCGAUGCCUUGAUUUUAAUGUGGCCCCUAACUUAUGAACUCUUAGUCUGGAAACUACUGUUAUUCAGUGGUUAAUUAUAACUUUUAAGAAUGGUUACCUUGAUGUUGUUAGUUCUCCCUCUUGUUAACUAGCCAAGAGGUAGAUCCCAGUUUCAUUGAGCUGCUGGCACUUAGUUUUUAGUGUUUCAGUCGUACUGCAAUGCCAACAUCCUUUUUAUUUGGCAUUACGAAACAGUGACAUCUUGAUGCUGAAGCAUGCUAUAGUUUUUUUCAAGACAAUAUAGAUGCAACUUAGUUCAAAUCUGACACUUGCGAAGAUUUUCACAUGUUAUACGUAGUUGGUGAUGGGGUAUAUAGAGCAUGUUGUAGUUGGUGACAACACAUGAUUGUUUCUGUGCAAAUAUAUUCUUUCACCUUGAGUUCUUAUUAUUGUACAUGAUCAUAUGACAACAUUGUAGUUUCAUCCACAUCUCUGCCAUAGCACUACAAAUGGAAACUUUUGUAAGUCCAAUGUUUCCAGUUUAAGAAUGCAUCGGCAUUUUGCUUAUAUUUAUUUGAGUCGCUACUAAAUUGUUAAUCUUGAGCAUCACUUGAUCAACUAUGUGCAUUCAAGUCUUAUUUGCCUCUCCUAAGCUCGAGACUAUUGGAAUGGGUCUACUCCUUGCUCAUCACCUGACCAUUGAUACACUGCAACGGGACACGUCACCACUGGAUGAAACUCACAACGACCGGAAUCUACAUCAUCUAGUGUGUCAUGGCGUCCCUCCUCUAGCUCACUCAUGAUCUUCGCACGUGACCUGCGGUGAGGACCAGUUUCUUAGGGGACAUAGUUGAAGAGCAGCAUUGAUUGGUAAGCCCCGUAUGGUAUUACUUGCAUAAUAAAGAUUGAAAUUUAUCAGUUCGUUUCCUAUUUUUUCUCCGUUUUACUAUCUUUAUUUGCAAAGUUAAAUAAGUGUGUAUAUUUUAGGCCUAUAAUUUACUAACUAUUUCAAUCUCUCUUGUGGAUCUGUGGUGAGGUGCGUGGUGACCUGUGGCGCCUAAGGGCAUCUGGAUGUUGGUAGACGCACUAAGUUGCGGCGGCCACCAGCUGCAGCAGCUGCUCUACAGGGCGGCGGGCGGCAGUAGCAAGAUGAGGCAGUGACCAGCAGCAGCUGCACUACGGGGCGGCGUUAGCGAGUAGCAGCAGUAAGGCGAGGCAGUGGUGAGCAGCGGAACAACCAUGCAAACUGCAAGAAGAAUGAAGCAGUGGUAGCAACAUAUGGUGAAUCAUCAGGUAUCACUUCUUUCAUAUGCCUUAUGUUUGAGCAUGAUUUGGAGCUAGCUUGAGAAGAGAAGUUAGUGCACAUCCUUCUAACUCUAAUGUAUCAUGGUAAUUGCUUCAGUUCACAUUUUUUCCAGUUUACAGAUACCCAUGAGAUGAAAUACCAUGCUAUCUUUUAGUCAGAUAAGUUGAUGAUAUGUGCCAAAUUAUACGUGGUAAGAUUGGUACUUUUUUCUUGACGUAUAUUAUUAGAAAGCUCUUCUUAUAAAUAUGAUUUAUCAAUUUGUAGUAAUACAUCCCAUGCAAGAUUACUCUUGUCCAGUGUGUUAUAAUUAAUUGCAAUAUAAAACAUUUUGGCUGCUAUGUUGUCUGCUCUAUAGUUGGAUAUGGCCGGCUAUUCUAUAUCUGUUUAGGAAGGUUGAGCACAAAGUAAGAAAAUACUACUUUCAUCAUACAAUCAGUUGCUUAAAAUAUUAGUGUAUCAUGAUCUAAAAAAGGUGUAUCAUUUGUGAUAUAUGUACUGUUUUUAAAUUGUCACAAAGUAUAUGCAUACACUAUUCAUUCAUCCAUCUAGAUCUAAUGUAUCUUUUCAUGUCCCUGCAAAAGAGCUUAUCACUAUGUGUGUUCUGGUUAUAUAUCACCAAGAAUGGCAGAGGAAUCGAUGGCAAAAAUAAGGAACAAUAUUCUUCUUAUUUCCAAGAAAGGCAUUUAGUUGAUUCAUGUCAGUUCUUGGAACUAAAGCAUCAUACAAUGAUAGGUGGGCUGGUGCUCUCGGCAUAAUACUUUUGUGCAGUUGUGUUACAACAUGUUUUCAUUGAGAUGUUAUCCAGUAUUUUUCAGCUCCUAAAGAUAGGCUCCUCAUUUCAAAAGGAUUAAAUGAGUCUAUAUGGUCAUGGCUUGUCGUCCGUCUUGAAGCGGAUUCAGAGCCCGGUAGGAUCGCACACCGUAUGGCUUGGACAUCGGAAGAAGAUACAAGAUCGACAAGCGUUCGGUCGAAAAACUCAAAUUAUUCCAUCGAUAGAAUAACAUGAAGAACAAGUACUGGGAUGACAUGGUUGUUACUACAAUAGUAAAAGGCCAAGUCACGGGAGGAGAGAUGCUCAGCGUGUAUGAUGGAAAUGGUGGCUCGGAAGUGAGGUUAUCUUCUCUUGAAAAUCUUGACCCACAAAAGAAAUUAACCUGACGCCGUGGGAACCAGGAAAGCGUAGAUCACGAAUGGCCCCACAAUUUGGUGGUGUUUGUGUGUUGUGCGGUCAAACCUUUCUACGGGCUCCAUGGCGAUGCAGCAACAUCACCUUCUCAGGGAGAUGAGACGAUGGGAUGUGGCCACGUCGUGCUACAUGUUGUUGUGCUAGCUUUGUUGUGUGUGUGUGUGUGUGCGCGCGCGUGUGUGUGUGAGAGAGAGGGAGGGAUGGAGGGCAUUGGCUGAUAGGGGAUGGUUAUGUUGUUGCUAGAUAUGAGCAACGUUCUGUCUAUGUCUUUAGAGAAGCCUUUUGCUUUAGUUUAACUGGGGUGGAGAGUGGGUACUGUUGUGACAAAGUUGCAUGUUACUAGAUUAUCAAACAUGUUGUUUAGGUGAAUAUGUACCGUCGAAAAGAGAGCAAUGGUACUAUGAUUGUACUGUUUUAUGCUCGAUGUUAAAGAAUACUCUUGCAAGCAGUUAGCGACGAGCUGAUGGUGCAUUAUAUUGUAUAGAAGAUUCUUUUGAUCCCACAAUGCCAAUUGUGCAUUUAUUGUUCUAUACC